AUGGUCUAUUCUGCUUAUCGAUAAUUCCAACCGCAGUGGAUCCAUGGAGUUUGUUGUUCCACCAUCAGAUUCAUCAGCUUUCUUCCCAAUCACUAUCAAAUUCACUGCUACAAGCACAUUCAGCGAUGUCAAGGUUACGAGUGUUAUGCCUCUACGGGGUGGACCGCCUCCAAAAUUCUCACAGAGAACCCAGCUUAUCACUGAAAAUUAUCAAGUCGUUUGAGUUAUUUAACAACAAUUUGUUUUAUAUCAAGAGAAAUUUCUGGUCAUCGGUCAUAAAACAAACAGUGUUUUACUUGUUUCUGG
rnacentral:misc_RNA from 1 species